rnacentral:rRNA from 1 species
GAUCAUGGCUCAGUACGAACGCUGGCGGCGCGCCUAACACAUGCAAGUCGAACGAGCGAGAGAGAGCUUGCUUUCUCGAGCGAGUGGCGAACGGGUGAGUAACGCGUGAGGAACCUGCCUCAAAGAGGGGGACAACAGUUGGAAACGACUGCUAAUACCGCAUAAGCCCACGACCCGGCAUCGGGAAGAGGGAAAAGGAGCAAUCCGCUUUGAGAUGGCCUCGCGUCCGAUUAGCUAGUUGG